rnacentral:rRNA from 1 species
CGGACGGGUGAGUAACGCGUAGGAAUCUACCCAGUAGUGGGGGACAACAUGGUGAAAACCAUGCUAAUACCGCAUACGCCCUAUGGGGGAAAGCGGGGGACCUUCGGGCCUCGCGCUAUUGGAUGAGCCUGCGUCGGAUUAGCUUGUUGGUGAGGUAAAGGCACACCAAGGCGACGAUCCGUAGCUGGUCUGAGAGGAUGAUCAGCCACACUGGAACUGAGACACGGUCCAG